rnacentral:rRNA from 1 species
AGACCGUGCUUUGUGCUGUUACGUCUUUCCUCAAGUCCACUUGAUUGUGGCUUCAGGCCCAGAGAGGGUGUAAGGCCCGUGGAGGCAAGAUGUUCGGCACCCGGCGCGUUCUUAGAGUCGGGUUGUUUGGGAAUGCAGCCCAAAGUGGGUGGUAAGCUCCAUCCAAGGCUAAAUACUAGCACGAGUCCGAUAGCGAAGAAGUACCGCGAGGGAAAGUUGAAAAGAACUUUGAAGAGAGAGUUCAAGAGUACGUGAAACCGCUGAGAGGCAAACUGGUGGAGCUGAAAUGGUCUCGAGGAAUUCAGCCGUUUGUGAGACGACAGUUGUCAGUUGUGAGAUUUAACGACUCCUCUGGCUGCUGAUUGUUUUGCGAUAGGUGCACUUUCCUCGGUGAUCGGACCACGACCGGCGAGCUGUGUUGUCUAGCGUGCUUGGAAGGUAGCGUCCUCUUCGGAGGACGUGUUAUAGACAAGCGCAUGGAGUGACUGGCGCGCUGUAUUGAAGUGCCUGCCCUCGUUGGCUCGUACGUUGGUUGCUUUGCGGAUAACUUUGGCUUCACUGCUUCGGCAGAGCGGUUGAGGUUGUUUGCAUUGCGGUCGGCCUCUGCGAUUGGCAUGGAAAGUCUUGUGGUUGUGAAGUAGGUAGUCCACCUGACCCGUCUUGAAACACGGACCAAGGAGUCUAACAUGUGCGCAAGUCAUUGGGUUCUACGAAACCUAAAGGCGCAGUGAAAGUGAAGAUCCGCUUUUGCGGAUUGAGGUGGGAUGCUGGGCUACGCGCUCAGCCGCACUACCGGCCCGUUCCACAUGUAUCUCAUGGGGGCGGAGCAAGAGCGUACACGUUGGGACCCGAAAGAUGGUGAACUAUGCUUGCGCAGGUCGAAGCCAGAGGAAACUCUGGUGGAGGACCGCAGCGAUUCUGACGUGCAAAUCGAUCGUCAAACGUGAGUAUAGGGGCGAAAGACUAAUCGAACCAUCUAGUAGCUGGUUCCCUCCGAAGUUUCCCUCAGGAUAGCUGGCACUCGGGAAAUUAAACAGUUUUAUCCGGUAAAGCGAAUGAUUAGAGGUAUUGGGACGAAACUGCUCUCAACCUAUUCUCAAACUUUAAAUGGGUNAGAUGCUCGACUCGCUCAAU